UACGAAGGGAACUAGCGUUGUUCGGAUUUACUGGGCGUAAAGAGCAUGUAGGCGGAUUGGACAGUUGAGGGUGAAAUCCCAGAGCUCAACUCUGGAACGGCCUUCAAUACUUCCAGUCUAGAGUCCGUAAGGGGGUGGUGGAAUUCCGAGUGUAGAGGUGAAAUUCGUAGAUAUUCGGAGGAACACCAAGUGGCGAAGGCGACCACCUGGUACGGUACUGACGCUGAGAUGCGAAAGCGUGGGGAGCAAACAGG
rnacentral:rRNA from 1 species